GAUAACUGGCUUGUGGCGGCCAAACGUUCAUAGUGACGUUGCUUUUUGAUCCUUCGAUGUCGGCUCUUCCUAUUGUUGUGAAGCAGAUUUAGGAGUAUAAAUUAGUGCAUGUAAAAAUCAGCUAUAGUUGGUUAAGUCCAGGUUGCUCUGCAAGU
rnacentral:ncRNA from 1 species